rnacentral:sRNA from 1 species
CCCUAGCCCCGAUAAAGGCGGCAUCCUUUUUUGCCUUUCUUUAAGGCGAAAAAGAUACAGCGGAUAGCGGGAAUAGCU